AUGAACCCCUCCUCGGCUCCGGGCCCGGAUGCAUUGCCAGUAUUGUUCUUUAAAACAUUCUGGCAAACCAUCAAACCGGAGGUCAUGGCCCUCUUUGACGAGUUCUUCUCUGGGACCAUGGACCUUGGGCGCCUGAACUAUGGGAUCAUUACCCUCAUCCCAAAGGUUCCUGGGGCCUCGGACAUCCGCCAGUUCCGCCCGAUCACCGUGAUUAACGUGAUCUUCAGGAUCCUGGCCAAAGGGUAUGCCAAUAGGGUGACCCUUCUCGCGGACUCUGUCACCCACCCCAACCAAUCCGCUUUCAUCCAAGGUCGUUUUAUUUUGGAUGGGGUGUUGGUCUUUCACGAAGUCCUCCACGAAGUUCGAUCCAAGCACCACCACGCAGUGUUCCUUAAGCUCGACUUUCAUAAGGCCUACGACACGGUCCACUGGCCCUUCCUUCGGGAAGUAUUGCUUCGGAAAGGCUUCGACGACCGCUGGGUGAUACGGGUUAUGCAACUCGUCACCUGCGGCCGGACGGCGGUUAACAUUAACGGCGAGAUCGGGCCUUACUUCCCCACCUUAUGUGGGGUUCGCCAGGGUGACCCAUUCUCCCCGUUCCUCUUUAACAUGGUUGUCCAUGCCCUUGCA
rnacentral:rRNA from 1 species